rnacentral:rRNA from 1 species
GAUGAACGCUGGCGGCGUGCCUAAUACAUGCAAGUCGAGCGAACAGACGAGGAGCUUGCUCCUCUGACGUUAGCGGCGGACGGGUGAGUAACACGUGGAUAACCUACCUAUAAGACUGGGAUAACUUCGGGAAACCGGAGCUAAUACCAGAUAAUAUAUUGAACCGCAUGGUUCAAUAGUGAAAGACGGUUUUGCUGUCACUUAUAGAUGGAUCCGCGCCGCAUUAGCUAGUUGGUAAGGUAACGGCUUACCAAGGCAACGAUGCGUAGCCGACCUGAGAGGGUGAUCGGCCACCCUGGAACUGAGACACGGUCCAGACUCCUACGGGAGGCAGCAGUAGGGAAUCUUACGCAAUGGGCGAAAGCCUGACGGAGCAGCGCCGAGCGAGUGAUGAAGGUCCUGGGAUCGUAAAACUCUGUUAUUAGGGAAGAACAAAUGUGUAAGUAACUAUGCACGGCGUGACGGUACCUAAUCAGAAAGCCACGGCUAACUACGUG